UAUUUCUAACAAUGGGAACUAUAAGUGGGG
rnacentral:piRNA from 1 species